GGAGGAUUAGCUCAGCUGGGAGAGCAUCUGCCUUACAAGCAGAGGGUCGGCGGUUCACCCGUCAUCCUCCACCA
rnacentral:tRNA from 1 species